rnacentral:rRNA from 1 species
UACGGAGGGUGCAAACGUUGCUCGGAAUUACUGGGCGUAAAGCGUGCGCAGGCGGUUCGUUGUGUCGGCGGUGAAAGCCCCGGGCUCAACCUGGGAAUGGCCGUUGAAACUGGCGAACUGGAGUGUGGCAGAGGGGGGUGGAAUUCCGCGUGUAGCAGUGAAAUGCGUAGAGAUGCGGAGGAACACCGAUGGCGAAGGCAGCCCCCUGGGCUAACACUGACGCUCAGGCACGAAAGCGUGGGGAGCAAACAGG